UACAGAGGUCCCAAGCGUUGUUCGGAUUCACUGGGCGUAAAGGGUGCGUAGGCGGUAAGGUAAGUUUGCGGUGAAAGCUCCAGGCUCAACUUGGAAAUUGCCGCGAAUACUAUCUUGCUAGAGGAUCGGAGGGGAGACUGGAAUUCUCGGUGUAGCAGUGAAAUGCGUAGAUAUCGAGAGGAACACCAGUGGCGAAGGCGAGUCUCUGGACGGUUCCUGACGCUGAGGCACGAAAGCCAGGGGAG
rnacentral:rRNA from 1 species